ensembl:rRNA 5S_rRNA 5S ribosomal RNA
GCUUACGGCCAUACCACCCUGAGCGUGCCCGAUCUUGGAAGCUAAGCAGGGUCAGGUCUGGUUAGUACUUGGAUGGGAGACCGCCUGGGAAUACCAGAUGCAGUAAGCU